rnacentral:rRNA from 1 species
GGUUAAGCGACUAAGCGUACACGGUGGAUGCCCUGGCAGUCAGAGGCGAUGAAGGACGUGCUAAUCUGCGAAAAGCGUCGGUAAGGUGAUAUGAACCGUUAUAACCGGCGAUGUCCGAAUGGGGAAACCCAGUGCAAUUCGUUGCACUAUCGUUAACUGAAUACAUAGGUUAACGAGGCGAACCGGGGGAACUGAAACAUCUAAGUACCCCGAGGAAAAGAAAUCAACCGAGAUUCCCCCAGUAGCGGCGAGCGAACGGGGAGCAGCCCAGAGUCUGAAUCAGCUUGUGUGUUAGUGGAACGGUCUGGAAAGUCCGACGGUACAGGGUGAUAGUCCCGUACACCAAAAUGCACAGGUUGUGAACUCGAAGAGUAGGGCGGGACACGUGGUAUCCUGUCUGAAUAUGGGGGGACCAUCCUCCAAGGCUAAAUACUCCUGACUGACCGAUAGUGAACCAGUACCGUGAGGGAAAGGCGAAAAGAACCCCGGCGAGGGGAGUGAAAAAGAACCUGAAACCGUGUACGUACAAGCAGUGGGAGCACCUUCGGGUGUGACUGCGUACCUUUUGUAUAAUGGGUCAGCGACUUAUAUUCUGUAGCAAGGUUAACCGUAUAGGGGAGCCGCAGGGAAACCGAGUCUUAACUGGGCGUUAAGUUGCAGGGUAUAGACCCGAAACCCGGUGAUCUAGCCAUGGGCAGGUUGAAGGUUGGGUAACACUAACUGGAGGACCGAACCGACUAAUGUUGAAAAAUUAGCGGAUGACUUGUGGCUGGGGGUGAAAGGCCAAUCAAACCGGGAGAUAGCUGGUUCUCCCCGAAAGCUAUUUAGGUAGCGCCUCGUGAACUCAUCUUCGGGGGUAGAGCACUGUUUCGGCUAGGGGGUCAUCCCGACUUACCAACCCGAUGCAAACUACGAAUACCGAAGAAUGUUAUCACGGGAGACACACGGCGGGUGCUAACGUCCGUCGUGAAGAGGGAAACAACCCAGACCGCCAGCUAAGGUCCCAAAGUCAUGGUUAAGUGGGAAACGAUGUGGGAAGGCACAGACAGCCAGGAUGUUGGCUUAGAAGCAGCCAUCAUUUAAAGAAAGCGUAAUAGCUCACUGGUCGAGUCGGCCUGCGCGGAAGAUGUAACGGGGCUAAACCAUGCACCGAAGCUGCGGCAGCGACACUAUGUGUUGUUGGGUAGGGGAGCGUUCUGUAAGCCUGCGAAGGUGUGCUGUGAGGCAUGCUGGAGGUAUCAGAAGUGCGAAUGCUGACAUAAGUAACGAUAAAGCGGGUGAAAAGCCCGCUCGCCGGAAGACCAAGGGUUCCUGUCCAACGUUAAUCGGGGCAGGGUGAGUCGACCCCUAAGGCGAGGCCGAAAGGCGUAGUCGAUGGGAAACAGGUUAAUAUUCCUGUACUUGGUGUUACUGCGAAGGGGGACGGAGAAGGCUAUGUUAGCCGGGCGACGGUUGUCCCGGUUUAAGCAUGUAGGCUGGUUAUCCAGGCAAAUCCGGAUAAUCAAGGCUGAGGUGUGAUGACGAGGCACUACGGUGCUGAAGUAACAAAUGCCCUGCUUCCAGGAAAAGCCUCUAAGCAUCAGGUAACAUUAAAUCGUACCCCAAACCGACACAGGUGGUCAGGUAGAGAAUACCAAGGCGCUUGAGAGAACUCGGGUGAAGGAACUAGGCAAAAUGGUGCCGUAACUUCGGGAGAAGGCACGCUGGUGUGUAGGUGAAGUCCCUGCGGAUGGAGCUGAGACCAGUCGAAGAUACCAGCUGGCUGCAACUGUUUAUUAAAAACACAGCACUGUGCAAACACGAAAGUGGACGUAUACGGUGUGACGCCUGCCCGGUGCCGGAAGGUUAAUUGAUGGGGUUAUCCGUAAGGAGAAGCUCUUGAUCGAAGCCCCGGUAAACGGCGGCCGUAACUAUAACGGUCCUAAGGUAGCGAAAUUCCUUGUCGGGUAAGUUCCGACCUGCACGAAUGGCGUAAUGAUGGCCAGGCUGUCUCCACCCGAGACUCAGUGAAAUUGAACUCGCUGUGAAGAUGCAGUGUACCCGCGGCAAGACGGAAAGACCCCGUGAACCUUUACUAUAGCUUGACACUGAACAUUGAGCCUUGAUGUGUAGGAUAGGUGGGAGGCUUUGAAGCGUGGACGCCAGUCUGCGUGGAGCCAACCUUGAAAUACCACCCUUUAAUGUUUGAUGUUCUAACGUUGGCCCCUUACCGGGGUUGCGGACAGUGUCUGGUGGGUAGUUUGACUGGGGCGGUCUCCUCCCAAAGCGUAACGGAGGAGCACGAAGGUUAGCUAAUCCUGGUCGGACAUCAGGAGGUUAGUGCAAUGGCAUAAGCUAGCUUGACUGCGAGCGUGACGGCGCGAGCAGGUGCGAAAGCAGGUCAUAGUGAUCCGGUGGUUCUGAAUGGAAGGGCCAUCGCUCAACGGAUAAAAGGUACUCCGGGGAUAACAGGCUGAUACCGCCCAAGAGUUCAUAUCGACGGCGGUGUUUGGCACCUCGAUGUCGGCUCAUCACAUCCUGGGGCUGAAGUAGGUCCCAAGGGUAUGGCUGUUCGCCAUUUAAAGUGGUACGCGAGCUGGGUUUAGAACGUCGUGAGACAGUUCGGUCCCUAUCUGCCGUGGGCGCUGGAGAAUUGAGGGGGCUGCUCCUAGUACGAGAGGACCGGAGUGGACGCAUCACUGGUGUUCGGGUUGUCAUGCCAAUGGCACUGCCCGGUAGCUAAAUGCGGAAGAGAUAAGUGCUGAAAGCAUCUAAGCACGAAACUUGCCCCGAGAUGAGUUCUCCCUGAGACUUUAAGUCUCCUGAAGGAACGUUGAAGACGACGACGUUGAUAGGCCGGGUGUGUAAGCGCAGCGAUGCGUUGAGCUAACCGGUACUAAUGAACCGUGAGGCUUAACCUU